UCAAAAUUUAUGAAUAUUUUGUCCAGCUCUAUCCGUAAACAAUAAAAAUAAUAUAUAUAUAUAUAUAUAUAGCUUUCGAUUUGUUAUUUGUUUUGAUUCGAACCGAAACAUCCGAAUAGUGUGAGUUUUAUUGGAAAUGUGCAUAUGAGUUUUAUAUUUAAAAAAUUGUAAAGUAUAUAGUGUGAAUACAUUUACGUAGAGUUUGGUUGAAGAGCUCUCUACACAUGAUACGUCAGUGUACUCGUUCUCAAUUCAUUAUGAGACUGCCAUAUAUCCAUUAGAGUGUGAACGUAUUUAUUACAAUGAUUUUCAUUUAAUAUUCAAAUUUUUAUUCCUAAAAGGAUGCAUAUUUAAACGUAAUUCAAUGAAAUAAUAUCAAAAUUGAAAUGAUAAAAACAGAAAUGAUUUCAUUAUGAAAAUAAAUAAAAAACAACACAAUUUUUUAUGUUUACUUUUUAUAAUUUAUGUAUGUAAUAAUUACUGAUUAUAAUUUUAGUAAAACCAUAUAUUUAAAUAAAAAUGUCUAUAUUUUAUUUUUUACAUAUUUAAUUGUAUUGAAUUUUAUAUUAACCUUAUACAUUAUUAUUUUUUAUUAAUUUAUCGUAUUAAUUAAUUUGUAGAGUUUAUAAUAUUUGUUGAUGAGAGUACUGAUCAUUAAUCUUGUAAAGUGCAAACCAACUGGAAACAUGUCGAUUAGGUUGUUGGCCGAUUUGUGAGAAGAGACAACUCAAAUGUGCGUACUUAAGUUAGUAUUAUCUCUUUUUCUUCGCUGUGAGAUAAGUUGCAAUAAUUGUUAUUUUUACCACCUAAUUUCUACAAUGAUUUGAAAAAUAUGAUUCUAUAAUUUAUGUCUAUAAUUUUAGUUAUGAUUUACAUUAAUCUUUUGUUGAAAUUAGAAUUCACAUGAUUAGUGAUAUUUGUUUGGAGAUAUAAAUGAAAUAUUUUUUUUAUUUUUUUUAUUUUUUUUGAAAAAAGGCUUUCACAUUUCACCUUAUUUUAUAAAGCUUAUAUAAACAAAGUUUUACACCAAUCUUUAUUUUGCAUACAAAAAAAAUCACGUCAUUUUCAACAAAUAUAUGUAUUCAUGCUGCAAUUCUAUCACAUAAGUUUUAAAUGAGAUCAAAUGUACUUUUCUUUGAAUUUUGAAAAAAAAUCAUGUAGUUAAGAAUAGAAAACAAAAAAUUAUAAAAUGAAUUACAUUAAAAAAAUACCAAGAAGCUUUGUAGAUAUUAUUAAGAUAUUUUGAUAAGAAUGUUGUGUAGAUAUUAUUAAGAUUUUUUUUAUAGUAGUUAAUUAUGUUAUUACAAACUAUAAGAAAUGUUACAUAGACGAUACUACUGCCAACAAUUUUAUCAAAAAAUAUAUUAAAAAAAAUUCUUAAUUUAAAUAUUAAACAAAUUAUAAUGACAAAAAAAUAUAAUAAUAAUUAUAAAUAUUCAGAUUGGAUAAUUGAGUCAGCUCACAAAUAAAAAGUGUACUUAAAAAAAAGUAUGAUAAUAUAGUUUUCAAAUAAAAUUUCAUAUAAGUAUAUAAGUGUAUUUCUCCAAAUUUUCUUUAAUAUAUAACUUAAAAAAAUAGUUGGGGUCGUGUAAAUACUCCAGUUACAAAAUUUGGGUUUUCGUUUCAUUUUUUUUUUUUUUUUUUUUUUUUUUUGUAGACUAGGAUGGGUUCGGGCCUUCGGCCUUAAUUCCACCCCAGGUCCGGGGCCGGCCGGCGCUGAUACCGAUAACAUGGCGUAAAGCACCCCUCCCCAUGGGAAUCGAACUAGGGAUGCAAUGAAACCUACUCCAAGCACUAAACCACUAGGCCAACGCACCUUGACCCAACGCACCUUGACGCUGAAAUUUUUUUGUUUUUUCUUGGAAUAUGCGAGAGUAUCGGCGUGGUUGAAGACACGAGAGAGACUCUUUCUUCUCCAUUUUUAUAGAGAGAAAGUGAAAGGGAAAUUAAAAAAAAAACAAAGGCGGAGUUCAAAUUCGUUUAGAUGAUGAUGGAGCUUUUGGAUCAUUAACAAUUUAAUUUCUUUCUUCUCAGAAAAUGGCUAUUUAAGAUCAACACCAUUCGUCUAAUCUCCUCUUACUCAACAACAGGUCCAUUUCCUCUACAAAUUUUUUCUUUUAUUUAUGUUUUUUUACCUCUGUACUGGUUACGGUUUUAUGUUGUUUGUGUGGGCAGAAACGGUAAAGAAGAGAAAAGGACUUCACGUUGUUGCAAUCACAAGCUCAAACCAAUAUGUUGUUCAACAAUGAAGGUUAUAAUCAGAGAAAAGGAGGAAGAGAAACGAUCCAACAUCAAUUACCUCUGCAAUCUCAGUGUCCUCAAGUUAUAGACUUAUCUCUGUUACACAACUACAAUCAUCCGCACUCGAGUAUGGUUUAUACAGGACUCCGGUUAGAGCGGAGGCUCAGGCUUGGCAAGCGAGAGCCAGUGCCCAGGAAGCCGCAGCCACGUCGCUGCAGGCUCAGCUGCAGCAGGCCGUUGACAUGCGUGGCGGUGGCGGUGUGUGGGCGCAAGAUGGUAGAGCGGAGGAGGAAGGGCUAUUGUGCGCAGUGGGUAACAUCGGUUUAGAGGACAAGGGAAGCGACGGUGGUGAUGUUGCCGUGUCGGCAUCUAAGUAUCUGCCCGGAAUGUGACCGGACAGCUCUAGCAUGCCCGUUGUGUCUUACGCUGCGGAAUUCAAGCGUUGAAGCUAUUCUUUGUUAAAUGGGCCCAAUUCAAAGCCCGUUAGUUUGUCAAUCCUAAAACACUUAUUUGUUAUUCACAUUAAGGAAUAUGAAUUCGAAAACAACACAAUGUUUACCUCA